UGUACAAUACAGUGUGGUAUGAUUGACAAAAGUGCCGACCUGCAGUGUAGGGUCUUCCGCUACAAAGUAUGGACCAGGUCAGGUUAUAGGGUAUUCGCUCGACCAAGGCGGUAGAUUGUUUCGUGGUGCCCAGGUGUGCAAGGUAGUGUCGAUUAAAACCAAUCGUACUUCCAAAGUACGUGUGUGCGUAGUGCAGUGCCUAUACAUUUAUAUACAACAUUAUAGAGUAAGCAAUUGCCAUGUUAUGGACAAUUUGGGGUACUCUGUGCUAACAAAUCAUCUUAUAGAUAGUUCAGUGACAGUCAAUACUAUCUUCAGUCUUCUAGGUGGGAAUAGGCGUGCUGACGUCACCGUUACUAGUAUGGAAAGAGUUAACGCAUUUACGAUGGAGCAGUUGAGCUGUUGAAAUAGUGGCAUCAAAACAGAGGAAACCCCGAAGGACUUCAUAAAGACACACACGAGACAAAAAGGACGGAACAAGAAAAGCAGAAAGGCCAGAAGGUCAACAACCACAGCAACCAUGACGAUAAGGACCAUAAAAAUCCAGAAAUAUGAAACAAAAUAACUUGCAUCCGUUA